GGGCCCGCACAAGCAGUGGAGUAUGUGGUUUAAUUCGAAGCAACGCGAAGAACCUUACCAGGUCUUGACAUCCAACUAACGAGGCAGAGAUGCGUUAGGUGCCCUUCGGGGAAAGUUGAGACAGGUGGUGCAUGGUUGUCGUCAGCUCGUGUCGUGAGAUGUUGGGUUAAGUCCCGCAACGAGCGCAACCCUUAUUGUUAGUUGCUACGCAAGAGCACUCUAACGAGACUGCCGUUGACAAAACGGAGGAAGGUGGGGACGACGUCAAAUCAUCAUGCCCUUUAUGACCUGGGCUACACACGUACUACAAUGGCGAUCAACAGAGGGAUGCAAGACCGCGAGGUGGAGCUAACCCCUAAAAGUCGUCUCAGUUCGGAUUGCAGGCUGAAACCCGCCUGCAUGAAGUCGGAAUUGCUAGUAAUCGCGGAUCAUCAUGCCGCGGUGAAUACGUUCCCGGGCCUU
rnacentral:rRNA from 1 species